GCCGUUGUGGCUCAGUGGGUAGAGCAUCGGCCUGUGGACCAACGGGUCCCGGGUUCGAUUCCGGUCAAGGGUA
rnacentral:tRNA from 1 species